UGCAAAAAUAUAUAAAUAAUAAUUUGUUUUAUGAGGACUUUGAUAAUCAAAAAAUUUCGUUUUGGAAGAUGAUUAAUUCAUUAAAAUAGACUGUACCGUGAGAUCUCAAAUUUAGAAUGAUUCCACACGACAAACGUUACUCGAUUUCCACCUUCCAUUCUAUCUUAAUAAAAUUUUAAUUAAUGAAUCCAGAGGAGAAAGAAACGCGUAACGUCUGCAGAUGCGCGCACGCACCGCAUGCGACGCGCACUUCGAUCGAGUCUCCGCGAUGACCUUGAUUUCUGAAGCCGUGAAAAGAUCCCGUCGUCGUUGAGUCAAUUAAACCAAGCCACGAAGUCAUUGACUUUGCCGUUUCACGGCCAAUUUCUCAUCGACGUUCUAUAAUACGGUAUAUGUAUAUAUAUGUACGUUGUCCCGAAAAAUCUUUUAAUGAUCUCACAGCUUCCUUUACAUAUAUCUUUACGAAUGUUAAAUUUGAUUUACACGACAUACUGACUCACUUUUACUUUACGUGCUUGGUAUAUUUGCGCCUCGAAAAGAAAACGAUUUCUAACGAUCUAGAAAUGUCUUCGAAGACAAAAAUAAAAAAAUAUAAAACAGAGAAAGAAAGAGAGAGAGAGAAAUUUCAAAUAAAACUAAAGAAUUCUUAUCCAAUCAGAAUCGUUUUGAAAGAAAGAAAAAAUUUAAGAAAGAAGCAUUUACGAUUGACCAAUUGUUAAGAUCAAAAAUAUGAAUUGCGAACUCGGAAAUAUUCGAAAUAUCGUCGUCCAAUUAGAGAGAUGGAAAUAUUCCAAGUAUUAAGAUUAUUUGGGAGAGAGUUAUGGAAGAGGAUCGUAUGGCUGAACGAAGAAAGUUUAAUUCUAUUUCAUUGAUUUCUAAAGAAUAUAUUUCGUCCCUGCGGGUCUCAUCCGUUGCGUUUAGUAUUAGAAGUAAGCAUUCAGUAUCCCUAACUAAAUUGGACUAACAAUGUGUCGUUGUUGAGUUAGGUCGAAUCACGUGACCUCUGGCGUCGCACACGCGUGUGCCCACGCGCACGUUGAACGAACGGGGUUGGACGCGUUUAUGAAAAGAUAGAGCUAGAAGGAGACGGUAUUAGGAUAAAGAUAGAGGUAGAAAGAGGAGGUUGCAUCCUGGCUGGGUUUUCGUGUCUCGGUGGCUCCAGCGGCGCCACGGGGGUGUCUCUUUCUCUCUCUGCAUGGGGUGAGUCAUGGUGUUACCACCUCUCCUCGUGCCUGGGCGUGGUGGCCACCACUGCAGACGUCUCUCAUCGAUUUCUACAGCCGUGAAACACCAUGGGCCGAGUCUCUGCUUUUCGGCUGAUUCGCAGCUGAUAAGGGACAAUGGAUAGAGUUCGUGGGAUGACAUACGGUUCCACGAUAAAUCAGGCAUCAGGAUACAUAUACCUUGGGAAGGAGAGUAGGUCUUCCUUAGAGUAAAUUUUCCAGGCCUACUACUAUAAUUAGCAGAUAUAUCUCCCUCCUGCAAAGAAGGCAUAUGCCGGGGUUCAGCACACAAUUCUAUCUAACCUCUCUGAAACGAACGUUUGAAAGGCAAACAUAGUAAUGUUAGAGAUAGAACGUGGCCAGUAUGUAGAGCCGCACGUUCGAGGAAACCUUUUCGGUGGUCGAGGACAGCUGUAGAACUCGGAGGAUGUCUAAACGACGGCCAUAUCGUUUCAAAUUCGAACGCUCCCCAUCUGCAGUUCGUCGUGAGUCAUCGGUUGCCAGCCAAACUCAUGUAGACUCUCUCGUUUUCUCUCUUCCUCAUUCGCCCCAAAAGGGAGCUCUCGGUAAGGCUUUCCUCCUAUCGAGUGGCGAAUCGAAUCUCAGAGACUAACUAGACACGUAUCAAGUAUAUUAUGUAUAUCUUAGAAAAUUCAUUUUGAAGUAGAAAACGUCAUGACUUAAGCCCUGAUUGGGUUUUAAUAAUGUACAUUUUGUUGGUAUUUCCUAAUCAAAACUCGGUGCAACUAAUUUUGUUUUUCUAAUUUUUUGUUGCAUCAUCAAUCUAUCUUAUUGCAUUAUUAAUCUCUCUUAAAUAUUAUGAUGAGGGAGUCGAUUAAAGUGAUGUGACAUAUAUUGAAAGUUGAUUAAAGGAGCAUAAGAAUAUUCAUUGUAUACGAAAGUAACACUUUGUAAAAAAAUAACAAUCUUUAGACUGACCAAGUAUACAAAAAUGUCAACAUUUUUUAUCAGCAUCAGUCUUUAUUGAAAGUACGAAAAACACAGUUCCUAACUCCACCCGCAAUCAAAGUUAUUUCUAGCGAAGAAAUGUAGGAGUUCACAAAGAUUCGAGUUAUUCGACUAGAUAGUAUAUAUAACGGAGCGACAGGUGUCGCGAUGAAAGCAGGUUCUUCUGACCGAUAUCCAGGAUCGUAUCUUGUCUAUAGCGUAUGUACUAAAGUAAAAUAUUACCGUCGUCGGCAUUUUCGUUUUCUUUUUUAAAUUGUGCGACUAUCUGUGAAAACAUUCACUCGAUAAAUUUUCACCAUUCAACGAAAUAUUCUUUUUCAUAUUGAAAAGAUCAUGUUUUUGUGCAUUCAAAUAUUCCCAAUGUAGAACUUAUAUUUUAUAUAGAAAAAAAGAAAAAAAAUUCUCGUAUUGUUAAUAUGACAUAAUAAAUUUUUUUUCUCAUUCUUAUUAUCAUAUUUUUUUAUUCGAAUAAAAAUUAUCUAUUUAAGAAACGCGCAUGAGAAAAAAAAAUUUUGUUUGGGACACAAAUUAUCCGAAAAUCUAGUUACAGUCCUGUCUUCGCUGCUCCUCGAGAUCCGUUUCCAGGCUCCUGCGUUCUAGCCUGAAGCAACGUAUACGAAGAGUUCCAUUCGAGCACUAAAAAGUGCAACGUGCUCGAUAAAUCUGUAUCUCUCGGUCUUUUGUAAGAUAAUUUUUUACGUUCACGACGAUUUACCGAUCAGUAACAAUGCAACAUUGUCAAAGUUGUUUUUAUAGAAGAAAAAGAAACAAAUAUAUCUACAUUGAAUUCAAUUUCAUGAGAUUUCAACUUGAAAAUAUGUUUUUAAUUACAGCAUACAUCAUAUCAAACAAUGAGAAGAGAAAUCGAGCUCUUAUUUCUCUUCUUCAUCUUAUUCUUCAUCUUUUUCUUUAAAAAAAAACAACCAAUGGAAGGCUUUGAACGCUAACCUCUAAACGAACUUGAACUUGGAAAUAUGUAGAACGCAUGCGGUCGUGCCGUUAGACAUGUUUAUCUUAUGAGACGUUUUACCACAUUAAUCUGAGGGUCGUAUAAAACUGGCAUAAAGUUUCAGAUGAGAGAGUCAAAUAGUAAAUGCAUACAAAGGUGUCUUCUUAACAACAGGAUUCUUUAGAUAGGUUUAUGCCGAAUGUACAGGUCAAAAUGGUGGUCGAACCUGAACCCCUAUCUUCUGCCAGCAUACACACACAAACACACACGACGCACGUACGGACAAAGGAAGACAAAGACAUUCUUUUCUUUACUAUAAAAUUCAAUGCUUUAGGGUCGUUCUAAGAAAAAUAUUUCCUUGUCUCUAUUAGUACAAUUGAAUCCUUGAUGAUUUCCCAUAAGAACACCAUAAUCUUUCAAAUAUAUUUAUCGUAGCAUAGUAUAUAUAAUUAAAAAUUUCGUAUACCGUUAUAGUCAAACAAUUAUAACGCCUGCUUGCAUUUCAUGUCGUUAGAUCAUUUCAAAUGACAACAUCGCGUGUUGUCAUAUAUCACGGUCGAAACAUGCAAAUGCUUGCCUCUGCAGGAAUUGUCGAUUAAUAUAUGCAUAGUAUGAUCAGCUUAAUCGCGACAUUCUACUUUCCAGUCCAUUUAAGCAGAAUUUACGGAUUCGAUUGAAAUACUGUUGGUAACGUAGUUGGGAUGAUUUAUGUUCAUAACGUUAGAUUCUACAUUUGAGACAGGGAUUCUCAACCUUCUCGAAGUUGAAACAAGAUUAAUUUCUAUAGAUGAUAUUUUUGUACAACGAUACAAAUUAAUAAGGAAUGUUUAAAAAUCUUAAUCAGCUAUUGAUCCCGAUUAGAACUAGUUUUAAUAGAUUCUAAGUCUAAGGGCUCUAAACCCAAUCGUGACGACACUGUUGCCCUCGGUAUUCCCUUCUACACUCCCUCCACUUCCUUACCCGCUCAUUCUAUCCGACGAGUAUAACCUACUCGGUACCACCCAUUCAUCCGGCAGUUUUUGCCUACCGGUUUAACGAACCUGUACGCUUCGUUCCAGUUCCAUUCAGCUCGCUCCUUUUUUUGCGCCUCAGCGACAAUUCUCGUCUGCUCGCGAGAUCAUUGCUGAUGAAUGGAGGAGAAUAAGACAAGAGUUACAGAUAAGACUGAGCCGACUCUACUCAACGAAGGAAACUGGUCGCAUUUUCGUAAGUAAGACGCACUGUCUUCAAGUAUAGUUGGCCUACUUUCGUAUGUAACAAGAACGCUGCACUUGGCCCGAGACGCGUAUUCUCUCUCAUGUGCGCUCACGCGCUCUCGUGAACACAUACAUGUAAAAAAAUCCAUGAUACGGUAAGUAUAUGCUAUUCGUGAUUAUCUCUCAAGUUCGCAUGACGUUUAAGGGAAACUUUCACGUUUCUUGCUUAGAUAUAUAACAAAUCGCUAAUCUAAAUCUUGCAUUGGCGUUGGAUUAAAUGAUUGCUAUCUUGGAUCAAAAUAAAAUCGAACAAAUCAUGUUAGGUGAAACAAUACCGAUCGAAUUCAUUGACUAAUCUUAUUUAAGUUGAUCGUUAAGAAAUAUGUGCUGCUAACUUUCAGUAUUUUUUUUUUAAUUUUUAGCAGUAAAUUUAAGUCAACCCCGGGAAAAAAUAUAAUUGUAUCUUUUUUUUUUAAAUUGUUUCAACCAUGUUUAUAUCGCAAUCCAAAUUAACCUCAACAUUUUUAUGUAACAUCUUUCUCACGUAACAGACAGCAACAAGAUAGAUUUCUUUAAAGCAAAUAAAUUACGACGAAUUCUGAACGCCGGUCAUCGUUCUACCGCAAAAUUCAACACUGCUACGAAGAAGCAAAGAGUUAGAAAAGAUCAUUCUUUUUUCUUUUAUCGUAUAAGCUUAAAUAUUACGAAGAAAUAUUCGCAUAAAUAACGUCGAAAAAAAACAAUAAUUUAGCGAUAAACGAUUGAUACAACGAUAUAAUUCAUCGAGAUUAUUAUUAAUAAAUAAUUUAGUAUGAUAAUUGUAGAUAUUAAUUGAUAGCCAUCUUACGAAACAAUGUUUUCUUCAGAAAAAUUAUUCAUUAACGUCAUUACUUUUUAAUGCGGUGACACGAUCUUUGACUAACAUGAUUCUAAAAUUACCCUUUUUGGUAGUCCUAAUGUUCUACGGCCGUGUUCCGAAUCCUUGACCUUAUGCGAACUUACAGAGAGCUGUGCGAGAAAACGGAGUCAAGAACGCGACGAACGUAUUGUACAUACAUACUAUAGGUACUUCCAUACGUACGUAUGAUGAGACAUGCAACAUUUAGCCGGUAAUAUGCGCGACCGGCACAUACGUUUUACUGGUUGUCUACCUGUUCUGGAUCAGUGUUCGGUGUUGUCUACAAGGUCAAAUCUCGAAGAAUUCAGCUCGUCGUGACCUCGACGACAUGGAGUAUCGUGAUUAUUUCGAGGUCGAAUCUUGUAAAUUUUUUUGUUCGUCCUUCAUAAUUCCUAGUUUCGUUCGACUUUGUCAAUGUUCAAAAUUCAAUUCUUUCAUACUUUUAAUAAAUGUUAUCUUUCUUAUUUUUUUACCAGUAUCAUUUAAAAUAUUAAAAAAAAAAAAAUAACAAAAUUAUAAUUUUAAAUUUCGUGUAUUUAUUUAAUUUAAUUUUUUUUUUAUUUUUUUACUAGUGUCGUUUGAAAAAAAAGAAAAGAAUUGUAGCUUCAAUAAGAAUAUACGUCAGCAGAUUUCAUCGAUAAAUUGUUAAUUACACGAUUGUUAAAUUACAGGACAAUAACAUUUGAUUUCAAAGACAAGAUGCUUAUCUUAUCGCGAGAACUUAUCGGUAAGAUAAGAAAGUGAAUAUCGAAAACGAUUUCAAGAAAGUUUUCUCAUGAUUAUGGAUCUAAUAGUUUUUUUGACUUUCUCUCUUGGAAAUAUCUAUUGUACAGUCAUCAUUGAAAAUCGCGGAAUUUGAAUUUUUAACCGUCGACUUUUCGUAGAAAUUUCCAAGAAAAAGAAAUGACGAUUUUUCUAUGACUCAUUACAUACCUCUACGUGAUGAGCUACGUCUUAAUGAUCUUACAAUAAUUCAAGUAAACAUAAUUUAACAUUUUAUAUCUGGUGAAAUCAAUGAAACUCUUGAAACAAUAAUAACAACUCAUAUUAACUUUCUAUAAAACCAUAUCUAACUUUGAAAUCACAUACUUAAGAUUUCUUUCAUUUAAUCACCACGAAAUUAUUACUUAUUUCAUAUUCAAAAAAUUUAUAUAUUUUUUAUAAAUAUAAGUUUUACUUCAUAUAAUAAAAUUAUAUUGAUAUAAAUAAC